rnacentral:rRNA from 1 species
AUUGAACGCUGGCGGCAGGCCCAACACAUGCAAGUCGAACGGUAACAGGAAGCAGCUUGCUGCUUCGCUGACGAGUGGCGGGCGGGUGAGUAAUGUCUGGGAAGCUGCCUGAUGGAGGGGGAUAACUACUGGGAACGGUAGCUAAUACCGCAUAAUGUCGCAAGACCAAAGAGGGGGACCUUCGGGCCUCUUGCCAUCGGAUGUGCCCAGAUGGGAUUAGCUUGUUGGUGGGGUAACGGCUCACCAAGGCGACGAUCCCUAGCUGGUCUGAGAGGAUGACCAGCCACACUGGGACUGAGACACGGUCCAGACUCCUACGGGAGGCAGCAGUGGGGAAUAUUGCACAAUGGGCGCAAGCCUGAUGCAGCCAGGCCGCGGGGAUGAAGAAGGCCUUCGGGUUGUAAAGUACUUUAAGCGGGGAGGAAGGGAGUAAAGUUAAUACCUUUGGUCAUGGACGUUACCCGCAGAAGAAGCACCGGCUAACUCCGG